UUCGUCGGGUGGAGCAGCCUGGUAGCUCGUCGGGCUCAUAACCCGAAGGUCGUCGGUUCAAAUCCGGCCCCCGCAACCA
rnacentral:tRNA from 1 species